AGAGCGAACGCUGGCGGCAGGCUUAACACAUGCAAGUCGAGCGGGCGUAGCAAUACGUCAGCGGCAGACGGGUGAGUAACGCGUGGGAACGUACCUUUUGGUUCGGAACAACACAGGGAAACUUGUGCUAAUACCGGAUAAGCCCUUACGGGGAAAGAUUUAUCGCCGAAAGAUCGGCCCGCGUCUGAUUAGCUAGUUGGUGAGGUAACGGCUCACCAAGGCGACGAUCAGUAGCUGGUCUGAGAGGAUGAUCAGCCACAUUGGGACUGAGACACGGCCCAAACUCCUACGGGAGGCAGCAGUGGGGAAUAUUGGACAAUGGGCGCAAGCCUGAUCCAGCCAUGCCGCGUGAGUGAUGAAGGCCCUAGGGUUGUAAAGGCUCUUUUGUGCGGGAAGAUAAUGACGGUACCGCAAGAAUAAGCCCCGGCUAACUUCGUGCCAGCAGCCGC
rnacentral:rRNA from 1 species